AGCGAACGCUGGCGGCAGGCCUAACACAUGCAAGUCGAACGGACCCUUCGGGGUUAGUGGCGGACGGGUGAGUAACACGUGGGAACGUGCCUUUAGGUUCGGAAUAGCUCCUGGAAACGGGUGGUAAUGCCGAAUGUGCCCUUCGGGGGAAAGAUUUAUCGCCUUUAGAGCGGCCCGCGUCUGAUUAGCCAGUUGGUGAGGUAAUGGCUCACCAAGGCGACGAUCAGUAGCUGGUCUGAGAGGAUGACCAGCCACAUUGGGACUGAGACACGGCCCAAACUCCUACGGGAGGCAGCAGUGGGGAAUCUUGCGCAAUGGGCGAAAGCCUGACGCAGCCAUGCCGCGUGGAUGAUGAAGGUCUUAGGAUUGUAAAAUCCUUUCACCGGUGAAGAUAAUGACUGUAGCCGGAGAAGGAGCCCCGGCUAACUUCGUGCCAGCAGCCGCGGUAAUAC
rnacentral:rRNA from 1 species